GGACGGCCAUAUAUAACUUUUUCAAUUGAAGGAAGUGAGAGAGAGACACAAAUUUUGAUAGACCAUUUGCAUACCCAACCUUUUCCAUCCAGCCUCCCGAAUCAACUUAUUUAGAUCAAAAUCAGCUGAUGCCAAUCGCAAUUGAAAAAGUUUCAUAUGCCCGUCCCAUUGGUUGAGCCACAAGGCUUCAGGAAAGACCUGAAGCGAGAGAUAGACACAAAUUUUGAUGUACCAUUAGCAUACCUAGCCUUUUCCAUCCAGGCUCCCGAAUCAGCUGAUUUAGAUCAGAAUCAGCUCAUGCCAAUCCCAUCGAUUGCCGACUGAAUCAGCCAGUAUAGCACCAUAUCCGGAUUCCACUCUUUAAAAUCCUGGGAACAGUAGAACACCAUGGAUGGAAGUAUCCCAUUCCUAAACUCAAAUUUAGAGCAUCAAAAGAUACAGAUUCCAUUGCAAUUUGCAAGUGUUAGAAACAGAAAAUAAGAAAAGGUAGGCAUUGGGGAAGAGGACUUAGAGAGAGGAGUAGAUCAGAGGAAAAUUCUCGAUUAAAUAAACCAAGGCCGACGACCACCAGAGAUAGUUGCCUUGAAGAUGAAAUAGCUUUUGCAGGUUGAGAACAUAAAGCUGCUCCCUCUCUUAACAACAUUAAAGAGCUUGUGUCUGUGUUGAGUGUGAGGUUGUGGAGCAGAGAAACCCAGCUCGGAUAAAGAGUAAGCUUUUUGCUGCUUUCAGUUUCAGGGGAGGUGUGAGAAAGGAGGGAACAAAGAGGGACAGCAGAAAAUUUGAUUUCAAGAAGGGAAGCAACCUCUUUAGCAGUUCGUUGAAACCAUUCUAUUGGUCACUUCUCAAAUAAUGCAUUCAGGCUAUCAUUACAUUA